rnacentral:lncRNA from 1 species
AGAUAAUCAACGGUUCAGAUCUACUCAUUCUAACGGUUAAGAUGUGGAGACGCUUCGAACAGAGUUCCGCAUUUAAGACCUCCUUGCCACGUGGGUUCCAUCAAGUGGUUGCCACCAUCAUUAAGGCACGUCAGCAGAAGAAAUUACGUUACUCGAAGUCCCAGCUAUUCCAUCUCGACACUUCGAGUAGGGGGGCUACUGAUGUGGGGUAAAGUAUUCACCUAUUAAUGUUCAAGUACCUCGCCCCAAGGGAGGCUGGACAUCACCAUACAUCAAUCCUAUGAAGUCCCGUCUCCGCAUUUACAAUACCGACUGCAAUCUCCGAACCCUCUUGACCGAGGUAAAACGAGUCUAACGUCCAGCACGGAACCUCGCCAAGCUAUCUCCAUUGAGCUCGCCCAGAGCCAAAGUGUUGUCUCCUCCUCGCCCUUGGGCGAGGUGAAAUACUUGAUCAUAAGCCAUCUCCACCAGAUCCCCAUUUAUACGCCCAUCGCGAGAUUGUCUCCUCCACGGCACCGACAAUUACGGGAUACUCUCCAAAUGGCAAUCUUCCCAAUUAUGUCUCCUAUAUCUCCGAGAUAUCCUUCCAUACUUACCCUUCCGAGGAUCUCGCCGUGAUCCAUGGGCACGGCCCAUUACUCCGUCUAUAAAAAGGUCGCUCCCCAUUAAACAAAGGUACGCUCUAACACGCUGAACACACCACAAUUCUCUUCAGAGCUAUUUUACCCACUGUUACCGCUUUGGUCUGAUCUCCACGCCGGAGGGGUUUUGAGCGGCCUCGCCCCGGCCGUUUACUUUUGUUCGUCUGUGCAGGUCGCCCUUCAAAUAUCCGAGGUCCAGUGCCGAGGAAACCGAGCAAUAGUGACUGUUGGUUGCUCGCCCCAAUUUUUUACCACAACAGAACCAAUCCCAACAGGAUUUGCAUAGGCAUUUACCAAGGGAAAGGAAAAGUUGAGAAGACAAUGAAGUCAAAACUCCGGGUUUUAAUUUUCCCAACUAAUUUCCUUUCCUUUGAUGAUGCCCUUCACAAAGCUGUGAUGUAAAAAGAAAGUUGAAGUAUAUAUGAGGAUGUCAUUUAUGCCAUAUGCAGGGGUUAGCAAGAAAACUGAUUCAACUGCAAAACCGAACUAAACCGCGUGGCUUGAUCUAGUUUUUUUACUAGAAAGGAUUGGUUUUUAAGGUCAUGGUUUGGGUUUUAAACCGAAUCGUGAUUCUAUAAUUUAUGCAGAAUAUUACAUACAAUAUAUGAAUAUCACAUAUAAAUAUCAGAUGUUUCGUACACUGGAAAAACUUAUACUUUUGAGUUUAUUAGUAUGAUGUUUUUAUUCCAAAAAAAUGAACUGUAUUGGUCUAGAUAUAUAUGCAUUCUUGAAAUAUUUUAAUGAUAAAAGGGAUAUUUUUGGAACCGUAAAACCAAAUUAAACUGCAAUAUUCUACGGUUCGAUCUGGUUCCAUUUCACAGUUCUAAUUAUGAAUUGAUUUGGUUUUCAAUUUCGUUUAACUGUUGGGAGCAGUUUGGUUCAUGAUUUUCACUGAGACCACACCAAGCCGAACUGUGAACGGUAUUCAUAUCCUUCAUUGUGCUAUUGUAAAAGUUGUUUCCCAGUCUCUUUGUUUUCCUCUCUAUUUUCUUAUUGACAAAUUCCUUUAUCCAAUCUGUGGUAAAUUAUAUAUCAAUGUUAUAGAAACAAUAAGUUUUUUGUCAUCCUUUCACUAUUAAUGGAAUGCUCUUGUUUCCUUAAUCUGUAUUUGAUGUUAUCAUCGGUAUUUGCGGUGAGUUUUAAUUAAGAAUUUGAGCUAAUUAUUCUCUUUCAUGUUACGCGAAGCACACCGUUGGAUUCACAAUGCUCAUCAGGUGUCUAAUGUUUCAUUGGGAGAAAAUGUAAGAGCAAGAAUUAAGCAGUUCUCACUGGUGAACAAGUUCAAGAAGAAAGUACUCAGAGUAAGUAAUUAAAUUAAUUAAGGUUUCCUAAUAAAUUUGGAUCAUAAACAAAUCAUCCAUUAAUUUUUAUGUUUUUGUUUUGUUUUUAGGUGGUGGCAGACAGUUUGCCACAAGAACAAAUUUCAGGGAUCAAACAGAUGUUCCACGUGAUGGACACUGACAAAAAUGGAAACUUGACAUUUGAAGAGCUAAAAGAUGGCCUCCAAAUGAUAGGCCAACCCGUCGCCGACCCUGAUGUGCAGAUGUUAAUGGAUGCUGUGAGUUUUUCCUUUUCAGAACUUAAAACCUAUAAAAGUUUCCAAAAACGAAGUCUAUGGUAUCGAUUCAAAUUUUUGUUCCAAGAAUGAAUCGAGUUUCCUUUACUCUGAGUGUUUUCUAGUUACAUUUAGAUCUCACAUAAAUGCUUAAAUACCAACAGAAAUGUAUUGUAAGCAUGUUAUGGAACAAAAGGCUUUAAGAUCAUGUUUGAAUCGAAGCACAAUAUGUGCUCUUACUAAACCACUAUAUGCUAAAUUGAGAGAAGAUUGUGUUCCAAUAGUAAUGUGAACUAAGUUUAUG